GAUGAAGAACGUAGCGAAAUGCGAUAAGUAAUGUGAAUUGCAGAAUUCAGUGAAUCAUCGAAUCUUUGAACGCACCUUGCGCUCUUUGGUACUCCGAAGAGCAUGCCUGUUUGAGUGUCAUGAAAAUAUCAACCUUGACUUGGGUUUUGUGCUCUAGUCUCGGCUUGGAAUUGGGUGCUUGCCGCUUUUACGAGCGGCUCACCUUAAAUGUAUUAGCUGGAUCUGUCUUUGAGACUUGGUUUGACUUGGCGUAAUAAGUAUUUCGCUAAGGACAUUCUUCGGAGUGGCCUCGUUUCUAGGACGCUUGUCCGCUUUCCAAUACAAGUUCCACCUCGUGGACAUGACUUUUUAUUAUCUGGCCUCAAAUCAGGUAGGACUACCCGCUGAACUUAAGCAUAUCAAUAAGCGGAGGA
rnacentral:misc_RNA from 1 species